GGGACAGUCCUGAAGAUCGAGCGCUUGCAGAAUGUCCAUCUGCGUCGCGCAUAUGAAGCGCAGAAGAAGCACAUCUCUGAUAAGAACAAACAGCAGGGCGGAGCAGGAGAGAAGCUCCUGUACCACGGGACGACCCCCAACAACUGUGACUCCAUCAUGAAAACUGGGUUCAACAGGGGCUUCUCUGGACAGAACGCCACCUCUUACGGUCAAA